AGUGAACGCUGGCGGUAGGCCUAACACAUGCAAGUCGAACGGCAGCACAGUAAGAGCUUGCUCUUACGGGUGGCGAGUGGCGGACGGGUGAGGAAUACAUCGGAAUCUACUUUUUCGUGGGGGAUAACGUAGGGAAACUUACGCUAAUACCGCAUACGACCUACGGGUGAAAGCAGGGGAUCUUCGGACCUUGCGCGAUUGAAUGAGCCGAUGUCGGAUUAGCUAGUUGGCGGGGUAAAGGCCCACCAAGGCGACGAUCCGUAGCUGGUCUGAGAGGAUGAUCAGCCACACUGGAACUGAGACACGGUCCAGACUCCUACGGGAGGCAGCAGUGGGGAAUAUUGAACAAUGGGCGCAAGCCUGAUCCAGCCGUACCGCGUGGGUGAAGAAGGCCUUCGGGUUGUAAAGCCCUUUUGUUGGGAAAGAAAAGCAGCAGGUUAAUACCCCGCUGUUCUGACGGUACCCAAAGAAUAAGCACCGGCUAACUUCGUG
rnacentral:rRNA from 1 species